GAGGGUAUAGUUCAGUGGUAGAUCAUUCGACUGCAGAUUGAGAGGUCCUCGGAUCAAACCCGGCUGUCCUCU